rnacentral:lncRNA from 1 species
GAUUAUGAAUCAUCUUAUGUGGACAAGCUUUAGAAUAAGUACGAGAGAAUGUGAGGGCCGAAGGCAUAUUCUUUUAUUACAUUAGAAAGCGCAACUGUACACGAAAAACAUAGUAAAUCCUAUCUAAUGAACAAAGUACACCAUAACAAACUUUACUACCAGUCGCACUUUUCUCAAACCAAAAGGUAUUUACAUGGCCCAUCUGCAUGCCUUACAGUGACAAACACGUAAAAACAUCACUCCAUUAGUAUACUGUAUCCGAACAUGGAUCUAGUACUCUGUGGCUGCAAGAACUGCUGACCCCUCCACCUGAUAAUUCAUCCAAUCAAAUACACAGAACAGAUCACAAGAGAUGUAUUCAAGUUCAUCUAUGGAGAGAGCAACACAGACAAGAAAUAAACCAUGAAUGCAAAAAUCAAUUUUGUAAGUCAAGCUUUAAGGAAUUAAAAAUAAUAUUUUGUGGUGUAGUUUCCAAUUUCUUUUUUGUUAACCCAGGCCAAAGACUUUGUACCUAAACAAACCUGCCAACCACUUGCAAAACAAAUCAAACAUACAUUCUAAUUUUUUGUUUUUUUCUAUUAGGGAUGUUUCAAGGACAAGUGUGAGUAUAUUAAAAUUUAGUUGCAGCUUGCAAUACUAGUUACAUAAUUAAUUUCAACUCUUAACUUUUUUAAACUCUAGAAAGAGAUAUGGAGAUUGAGUUUAAAUUAGUCUAAUCCUUUCAUUUUGGAAACCUAACCUUUGAUUUAGUGCAAUGUUCUGUAUGCAUGGCAUUUUUAUGAACUUCUGUUCUAUUGUGUCUGACCUCACAGUUUUCCUUUGUACUAAUGUGGUGUUAACCUCCUAUUACUACUUGGACUGAUUCUCUAUUCUAAACAGAUGAAAAGAAUAUCCUGCAAAGAGAGCUUUGAGUUGUAGCAGCAAUAAUAUUUAAACUCUUGUCGUCUAGUUACCUUGAAGGUCGCACCCCAGAUUUCCUCUUCCUCUGCAGGUACUGCAGUAAUCUUAUUCUUUGGAUUCUCAUAGCAUCUCAGUCCUCCAACUGCUGUAGAGUAGAAACAUCCUGUAAAAUUCAGAGAAUAACUAAUGAGGGAAUACUUACAUUUUUGGGUAUAAAUAAGAAAUAAAACAUGGACAAUGUCGUAGUAUAAAAUCUCCAAGACUUUUGUGCAUGUAAUAUUUUUCAUGUUUCCCCUGUUCUACUAUUAAAUCUGACAUAUUAUGAAUUAUCAUCACCUUAAAGGUGAGGGGGAGAACAUCACUCUAGAAUCACAAACUAUAAGCACCUCUGUAGGUCACUUGUAACAAGUAGUUGUCAAAAUGUUGAGAAUUGUGAUAGGCUCUGAUAAAAUUAAACACACCUUCAGGGAAAGAAGCAAGGGACUUGCCACAAGAACCUUUAAGCAAAUCUGCAUCAUCAGCAAAAGCUACAUAUCCAUCAGCUGUAAUUCCCCAAUAGAGAGGAACUUUACCAGCUUGAUCCUGUAAAAAACAAUCCAAGCCCAAGGUUGAGUAAAAAAGACUGAAGAUCAUGACAAAUUGAUGGGAUUGUUAGAUAACUUACAGAAGCCACAAAGAGGGUAGAAGUGGACUUGUCAAAAACUAUAAAAGCAAAGUUCCCGCUGAGGUGACAAACAACACGGUUGGCAGGGUAGGGUGCUCGAUCACGUAAAGCUUUGUAAGCCUCAAUCACCAAAAUCACUUCAGUGGCUGACUUGGCCAGUCCAUACUGUUGUCUCAGGCUGCCCAA